rnacentral:rRNA from 1 species
AGUGAACGCUGGCGGUAGGCCUAACACAUGCAAGUCGAACGGCAGCACAGUAAGAGCUUGCUCUUACGGGUGGCGAGUGGCGGACGGGUGAGGAAUACAUCGGAAUCUACUUUUUCGUGGGGGAUAACGUAGGGAAACUUACGCUAAUACCGCAUACGACCUACGGGUGAAAGCAGGGGAUCUUCGGACCUUGCGCGAUUGAAUGAGCCGAUGUCGGAUUAGCUAGUUGGCGGGGUAAAGGCCCACCGAGGCGACGAUCCGUAGCUGGUCUGAGAGGAUGAUCAGCCACACUGGAACUGAGACACGGUCCAGACUCCUACGGGAGGCAGCAGUGGGGAAUAUUGGACAAUGGGCGCAAGCCUGAUCCAGCCAUACCGCGUGGGUGAAGAAGGCCUUCGGGUUGUAAAGCCCUUUUGUUGGGAAAGAAAAGCAGCAGGUUAAUACCCCGCUGUUCUGACGGUACCCAAAGAAUAAGCACCGGCUAACUUCGU